rnacentral:rRNA from 1 species
UAAAGCGACGAUAGCACAUUGAAUGUACGAGUUCCUCCAUCCCCAUGGAUCACUGAAGUUAAGCAACCUUGUUCGUGGUUAGUACCGGGAUGGGUGACCAUCUGGACAAUCGCAUGCUGGCUUUUC